UGUCACUAGGGGUGCCGAUUGGCUGAGACGGAAUGGAUUUCCGGACCCUUUGAACCUGAUCUGGUUAAGACCAGCGUAGGGAAGUGGAGGACG
rnacentral:ncRNA from 1 species